UACGGGGGAUGCAAGCGUUAUCCGGAUUUAUUGGGUUUAAAGGGUGCGUAGGCUGUGAGGUAAGUCAGCGGUGAAAUGCCCCCGCUCAACGGGGUGAAGUGCCAUUGAUACUGCCUUGCUGGAAUGCGGAUGCCGUGGGAGGAAUGUGUGGUGUAGCGGUGAAAUGCAUAGAUAUCACACAGAACACCGAUUGCGAAGGCAUCUCACGAAUCCGCGAGUGACGCUGAUGCACGAAAGCGUGGGUAUCAAACAGG
rnacentral:rRNA from 1 species